GACGAACGCUGACGGCGUGCCUAAUACAUGCGAGUAGAACGCUGAAGGAGGAGCUUGCUUCUCCGGAUGAGUUGCGAACGGGUGAGUAACGCGUAGGUAACCUGCCUGGUAGCGGGGGAUAACUAUUGGAAACGAUAGCUAAUACCGCAUAAUAGCAGUUGUUGCAUGACAACUGUUUAAAAGGUGCAAUUGCAUCACUACCAGAUGGACCUGCGUUGUAUUAGCUAGUUGGUGGGGUAACGGCUCACCAAGGCGACGAUACAUAGCCGACCUGAGAGGGUGAUCGGCCACACUGGGACUGAGACACGGCCCAGACUCCUACGGGAGGCAGCAGUAGGGAAUCUUCGGCAAUGGACGGAAGUCUGACCGAGCAACGCCGCGUGAGUGAAGAAGGUUUUCGGAUCGUAAAGCUCUGUUGUAAGAGAAGAACGAGUGUGAGAGUGGAAAGUUCACACUGUGACGGUAUCUUACCAGAAAGGGACGGCUAACUACGUGC
rnacentral:rRNA from 1 species